CCAGAAAUUUCUGUUGCUACAAUGGAAAUACGGGCUACACUGACCUGCCCUUAUGAAAACCAAGCAGAGUAGACCCUGUGACCUCCUGGAACAAAGGGUGAACUCACCUCUCAUUAAGUAUCUGGAAGCCCUCAUGCUUGACCCUGGCCUGGCUGUAGAAUCAUGUUUUAAUUUAAAGAACAGGGAUGUUUCCAUCCAGAACAAUAGACAGGAUCUGUGGGGAGGGGAAAAGUGGCUGUUUCUCUUCAAACAGUCCAUGUGAUACUAUUAGAAGACUCAGCUGAGAGUCACUUAGCUAAGCACUGGCUUUCAGACUUCAAUGUCCAUAUAAAUUAUUUGCUAUUCUAAGCCUUACUGUAAGUAACAAAAUUCUGGAGGUUUGAAAAGGGUCCAUGAAUUACACAGCUUCUUAUAGCAAGUCUCCUGUUAAUGCUGAUAUUCCUCCCUCUAGAUCCAUUAUAGUAACACUCAGCUAGAGAAAGCAGGCACAGCACACAGGGUCCCUUAUCCCAACACAAAUACUUUUCACCUGAAGACAAGACUACCAAUCAUCAUCCUGAAACAUGACAUUCUCUGCAGGCCCUUCAAAGGUUACAGAGGCUGGAGAUGGUGGCAAUGUCUGAGAAAUUGGAAGCACCAGCUCUGGAGUGGCAGUAGGAGUAGCCACCCCAAACUCUUAUCUCCUCUAAGCAGUUCUGUGAGAGAUUUCAGUGUGGGGUCAGACCUGGACAAGAUUCAGCAGAGGGUGGAUCUGGGCAGAGCUGGGACAGACAGUGGGCCCUAGGCUUCUGCUCUCUAGGCCAUUAAGUGUUUUCAGUUUUGUUUUUUCUAAGCCUGACAAAGAGAGAUUUUAUUCCCAGAGUUUGUGUGAUUUUAACCUACUUUCGCCACUUCCCUGUCUAUAUUACAACAUACAGUAAGAAGGAACUUAAUCAAAAUCCUUAUUUUUUCUAGACCAAUUAUAUUAAGAGCCAAAUACUUA
rnacentral:lncRNA from 1 species